CCUACGGGAGGCAGCAGUGGGGAAUCUUGCGCAAUGGGCGAAAGCCUGACGCAGCCAUGCCGCGUGAAUGAUGAAGGUCUUAGGAUUGUAAAAUUCUUUCACCGGGGACGAUAAUGACGGUACCCGGAGAAGAAGCCCCGGCUAACUUCGUGCCAGCAGCCGCGGUAAUACGAAGGGGGCUAGCGUUGCUCGGAAUUACUGGGCGUAAAGGGAGCGUAGGCGGACUGUUAAGUUAGAGGUGAAAGCCCAGGGCUCAACCUUGGAAUUGCCUUUGAUACUGGCAGUCUUGAGUACGGAAGAGGUAUGUGGAACUCCGAGUGUAGAGGUGAAAUUCGUAGAUAUUCGGAAGAACACCAGUGGCGAAGGCGACAUACUGGUCCGUUACUGACGCUGAGGCUCGAAAGCGUGGGGAGCAAACAGGAUUAGAUACCCUUGUAGUC
rnacentral:rRNA from 1 species